rnacentral:rRNA from 1 species
CAGCAGCCGCGGUAAUACGGAGGAUCCAAGCGUUAUCCGGAAUUAUUGGGUUUAAAGGGUCCGUAGGCGGUCUUGUAAGUCAGUGGUGAAAGCCCAUCGCUCAACGGUGGAACGGCCAUUGAUACUGCAGGACUUGAAUUAUUGGGAAGUAACUAGAAUAUGUAGUGUAGCGGUGAAAUGCUUAGAGAUUACAUGGAAUACCAAUUGCGAAGGCAGGUUACUACCAAUUGAUUGACGCUGAUGGACGAAAGCGUGGGUAGCGAACAGGAUUAGAUACCCCUGUAGUCCCUGUCUCUUAUAC